UACAGAGGUCCCAAGCGUUGGUCGGAUUCACUGGGCGUAAAGGGUGCGUAGGCGGUCGGGUAAGUUUGAUGUGAAAUCUCACAGCUUAACUGUGAAACUGCAUUGGAUACUAUCCGGCUAGAGGAAUGGAGGGGAGACUGGAAUACUUGGUGUAGCAGUGAAAUGCGUAGAUAUCAAGUGGAACACCAGUGGCGAAGGCGAGUCUCUGGACAUUUCCUGACGCUGAGGCACGAAAGCCAGGGGAGCAAACGGG
rnacentral:rRNA from 1 species